rnacentral:sRNA from 1 species
UGAGCGAUGUGGACCAUGGGCCUCUUGUUUUCUUAUACAAAAAUGUUCACAAUUUCUUAGCUGCAGGACUGUAGCUCACGGUCUGAAAAAUUCGGAUGGACGACCUGGGAGCUACAGUGCCUCCCAUAGUAAAAAAAACUGCAAUUUAUGGCGCACAAAAAAUGCGCUAGUUUUGGACUGAUUAAUCUCACUUACGAACACAUUCUGUACAAAUAUUUGAUCCCAGAAAAUUCCUUGGACAUUUUACUACAGAUAUCGUCACAUCACUUGCCUUUGAUUACCGUCUUCCUCGGAAGACGGUAUAAAGAGUUGAAAUAAUUUAUAGUAGUCCGGAUUGUGCACUUCCUUUCCUUUGUGAUUGGUUGAAAAUACACGAUGUGAAAAUUU